AGCCCUGGGAAUUGAAGUUUCAGAACUGGGCUGUAAGAGCCUCAUUGUUUCUUAUUACUCCUGAUUCUCUCAUUUCCUCCAGCAGAGCCUCUAGGAAGACCUAGGAAGGCCAGGAGGGUCCAAGUUCCCAGCUCUUCUCUUCUAGGGACUUCCUCUCCAAAGAGUAAUGUAGUUCAGUGCAUUAGGCAUGGUGGGCCCUCAACAUACCUUAUCUUCCUUCGCCUUUGAGAACACUUUCCUCCUCAGGAUCCCUCCAUUGCCUGCUUCACAGUGAAGAAAGAUACCCUCAGCCAAGCAGCCCAAGCAUGGAGAGAACCCCAGAGGGAGCUACACCUGAGGUGAAACCAGCACAGCCCCAGGGAUCAUCAGCUAGGACAGCCAGGCCACUGAGGGGACACAGGCUACAGGAACCUUGGCUCCGGCAUCUUACCUGCAAGUGGGAGCAAACACCCUGUCUAGUAGGGUUAUUGGAAGCCUGAACAAGAUCUUCUAAGAAAUGCCUGUUGCAAAGAAGGCAUAUCAUCAAUGGCAGAUUUAAUAUUGGAU